ACUGUCAUUCUUGGUAACAAAGCGCAAUUUAUCUGUCCUUACUCCAAGCUUUCUCUCACAUAAUAUCUCCCUUAUUCCUAAACCUAGUAACUACUUACAUAUGAAUGCUCUCUUCUAUUUAGUCUUUAUUAGAAAUAGACUCAGAAACAAAAUCAAAGAACCUCAACAUACAGUUUGAGACAAAAUAUUCCCAAGAACAUAAUUUCUUACAGUAUAAAACAAUUUAUGAUCAUCACCCUUAAGCUAUUAAAAUCCUUUAGGUUAGAGGCAGUUGUAAUCAUUGUUUUGUCCUUCGUGUAGAAAACUGUGAGGACUCAAUGAGCCAAUGUUAUGA